rnacentral:lncRNA from 1 species
AAAGAAGUAUGCAUGCGUUGAUAAAUUAGUAUUAUACAAAGAAAAAAUACUCUUCACACAAACCCUAGGGAGCUAUUAGAGCAGGGAAAGUUUAAGAAGAUAAGGUUUUCUUUGAAGGUGUAAGUUUUAAAAUGAGUUUAAAAACCAAGGAGCUACAUGGAGUGAGAGUGUCCUGACUGGGUAGAGAUGCAGAGCUGGAAGGGGACCACAUACACGGGGACCUACAGGAGGCGGAGCGUCAUGGGCUUGUCUCGGAUGGCAGAAGGAGGCUAACAUUGAAGAUAGAGGCCAUGUCUGCUGUCCUCCUCCAAGAAGGCUGCCUCCCGCCACUUCCCAGCCCGGAGUAGGGCAGGGAAGCAGCAGCCUGCCCCAGCCCAAGAGUGGAAAGAGUUUCAAGAAUUUGGAGUUCCCAGCACAAAUCACUACACAGAACCAUGCCCAGCUUAAAGGAGGCACUCAUUUAUUGAGUUAUGGAGAAAAGAAGAGAGAAAGAGGAGGAGGGAUGGUUGUGGAGGAAAGGAGAUGGAAGAGCAUUAUGAACACAACACCCAGGACUGCAAACUAACAUGAGCCAUAAUUGAAGGGCCAGAUUUCUUGAAAAACGCCUGUUACAUAGGCAAGAUGAGGCACCUGGUUCUAACAGGCAAAUAAAAUUAUUCUGUGAGAAUCAUAGAAUUGUUGUGUCUGUGUUCUUGCCAGUCACCCAGUGCAGCAUAAUGCAGGAGUCCCUGUCAGGUUUAUCAGAAGCGUGACUUUCAAAGUGGGGACCCACCGAGCUACAAAGUCAGGAGAGAUUUCCAAAAUUCAAUUUGAUAUCAUUUUAAUAUGCACAAUAGCUGUAUGGGCCCCCCCAAAAUUGGAAGUGCUACAGAGUUGUAUGUAAAAGACUUUUCUUGACAAACCUCGAGAGGCAGAGAAAGAGGGUGGCAGACUGCCUUGCGGAGAGAAUUAGAAGUUUGAGGGCUAAGUGACCGCCUGGCUCUGGAAAUCCACGAGGAAGCUGCAAGAAUCAGGUUCGGUAUGUCCCAUCAAGGUCACUAAAAAGAAUACAGUAAGCCUCCUGGCUAAGAUUUCCAGCCAUUAUGCAACCUCAGGCAAGCCAAGACAGUAACCCCAGACCGUGUGGGAGGAUGAAGUUGUUCCCAUCAUGGAGAAGUACCUUUCAACUCCGGGAAGAUUCAGAAUGGAGCAGAAUCGAAUAAGAUAAUCAAAGCCAUCUGUUGCUCUUUUGAGUCUAGGGCGUGUGUGUAAAUUUAGUGUUUUCUG